CCCCCCCAGAGGGACGCCCCCCCGGCAAUGCCAGCACGGGGUGCCAGGAGGAGCCCCCCUCCCCAGGGAUGCCCCGUUUAGCCCCAGUUCACACCAGUUCAGUCCCAGUUUAGCCCUAGGUCGGCUCCAGUUCACACCAAUUCAGUCCCAGUUUGGCCCUAGUUCAGCUCCAGUUCACACCAGUUCAGUCCCAGUUUGGCCCAGCUCAGGCCCAGUUAAGCCCCCCCCAAUUCAGCUCAGCUGGGUCCUGUUUAGCCCCAGUUCACACCAGUACAGCUCAAGUGCAGCCCCAGUUCAGCCCAGUUAACCCCAGUUCAGACUCAGUUCAGCUCACCUCAGCCCAGUUUAACCCCAGUUCAGCUUCAGUUCACACCAGUUCAGGCCAGUACAGCCCAGUUAACCCCAGUUCAAAUGCAGCUCAGCUCACCUCAGCCCAGUUUAGCCCCAGUUCAAAUGCAGCUCAGCUCACCUCAGCCCAGUUUAGCCCCAGUUCAAACACAGCUCAGCUCACCUCAGCCCAGUUUAGCCCCAGUUUGGCUCCAGUUCACACCAGUUCAGGCCUGCUGAGCCCAGUUCAGGCCAGUACAGCCCAGUUAACCCCACUUCAAAUGCAGCUCAGCUCACCUGAGCCCAGUUUAGCCCCAGUUCACACCAGUUCAGGCCCGGCUCAGACCAGCUGAACCCAAUUCAGCCCACUUCAGCCCAGUAAACUCCAGUUCAGACCCAAUGCAGCUCAGCUCAGAUCCAGUUCACAGCAGUUCAGAGCCAGCUGGGGCCAGUUCAGCCCAGUUAAACCCCAGUUCAGCUCAGCUCAACCCAGUUUAGCCCUAAUUCAGCUCCAGUUAACCCCAGUUCAGACCCAAUUCAGCCCAGUCCAGCUCCAUUUCUGUCCAGCUCAGCCCAGUUCAACCCAGUUAACCCCAGUUCAGCUCAGCUCUGCCCAGUUUGGCCCCAGUUCAGCUCCAGUUCACACCAGUUCAGACCCAGCUCAGGCCAGCUGAGCCCAAUUAAGGCCACUUCAGCCCAGUUCAACCCAGUUCAGUUCAGCUCAGUCCAGUUUAGCCCCAGUUUGGCUCCAGUUCACACCAGUUCAGGCCAGCUGAGCCCAAUUUGGGCCAGUACGCCCCAGUUAACCCCAGCUCAGGCCAGUUCAGCCCAGUUAACCCCAGUUCAGCUCAACUCAACCCAGUUUAGCUCCAGUUCAGCACCAGUUCAGACCCAGCUCAGGCCAGUUCAGCCCAGUUAACCCCAGUUCAGCUCAACUCAACCCAGUUUAGCUCCAGUUCAGCACCAGUUCAGACCCAGCUCAACCCAAUUCAGUCCAGUUCAGCCCAGCUCAGCCCAGUUUAGCCCCAGUCCGGCAUCAGUUUAGCCCCAAUUCCGCCCAGUCCAGCCCCAUUUCGGCCCAGUUUAGCCGCAAUUCCGCCCCGUCGAGCCCCAUUUCCGCCCAGUUCAGCCCCAUUUCAGCCCAGCUCAGCCCCCUCCGGCCCCUCCCUGCUCUGGGGGCGGGGCCAGACCCCAGAGCCC
rnacentral:lncRNA from 1 species